rnacentral:rRNA from 1 species
AUGCACGCUGGCGGCGUGCCUAAUCCCUGCCAGUCGCGCGAACAGACGAGGAGCUUGCUCCUCUGACGUUAGCGGCGGACGGGUGAGUAACACGUGGAUAACCUACCUAUAAGACUGGGAUAACUUCGGGAAACCGGAGCUAAUACCGGAUAAUAUAUUGAACCGCAUGGUUCCAUAGUGAAAGACGGUUUUGCUGUCACUUAUAGAUGGAUCCGCGCCGCAUUAGCUAGUUGGUAAGGUAACGGCUUACCAAGGCAACGAUGCGUAGCCGACCUGAGAGGGUGAUCGGCCACACUGGAACUGAGACACGGUCCAGACUCCUACGGGAGGCAGCAGUAGGGAAUCUUCCGCAAUGGGCGAAAGCCUGACGGAGCAACGCCGCGUGAGUGAUGAAGGUCUUCGGAUCGUAAAACUCUGUUAUUAGGGAAGAACAAAUGUGUAAGUAACUAUGCACGUCUUGACGGUACCGAAUCAGAAAGCCACGGCUAACUACGU